rnacentral:rRNA from 1 species
UACGUAGGGACCAAGCGUUGUUCGGAUUUACUGGGCGUAAAGGGCGCGUAGGCGGCAAUUCAAGUCAGCUGUGAAAUCUCCGGGCUUAACUCGGAACGGUCAGCUGAUACUGCUUUGCUAGAGUGCAGAAGGGGCAAUCGGAAUUCUUGGUGUAGCGGUGAAAUGCGCAGAUAUCAGGAGGAACACCAGCGGCGAAGGCGGCGCUCUGGGCCGGAACUGACGCUGAGGAGCGAAAGCGUGGGGAGCAAACAGG